UCCGGUUUGGCACCGGCAGUCUCCCUAGAGUUCUCGGCUUUACCCGUUAGUAACUAAGGACAGGGGUUGCGCUCGUUGCGGCACUUAAGCCAACACCUCACGGCACGAGCUGACGACAGCCAUGCAGCACCUGUGCUGGCUCCUUACGGAGCCCUGCUUUCACAGGGUUUAACCAGCAUGUCAAGCCUAGGUAAGGUUCUUCGCGUUGCAUCGAAUUAAGCCACAUGCUCCGCCGCUUGUGCGGGUCCCCGUCAAUUCCUUUGAGUUUUAGCCUUGCGGCCGUACUCCCCAGGCGGAGUGCUUAAUGCGUUAGCUUCGGCACGGAAAGGGUUGAAGGCCUCCCCACACCUAGCACCCAACGUUUACGGCUGGGACUA
rnacentral:misc_RNA from 1 species